GGCCACAUGUGUCACUGCACGUGGGAUGCAGAACAGGGUGGGGAGUGGGAGGAGCGGGGGCUUGAAGCUGGGUCUGGCCAAGCCCUGGGGUUUGCCACCUUGUCACUCACACUCUGACGACCUUUUAAUCUUUUCAUAGAAAUACGGGGGAGAGAGAGUUCCAACAGGCAGCAAGGGGCCUAGGGGGUGGGGAGGAGGGCAGUGCCAGACAGACCAUGGCUUCUGCUGUAUCUGAGGGCCAUGCAGGGUCGCCCCCUUCUCCUCUCCCCCCUCCCAUCCCAGCCGUGGGGGAAGGGGUAGAGAGACAGAAGAAAAUUGGAAACCAGACAGGGCACAGGGUGCACUAGCUGCUGGGUUUCUCCCCAGCCCACUCUGAUCCGUAAAUAGCUUGCGCACCCAGCUGGCACCAGCCCACCCACCCUGCUGGUACCUGAUCGCCCCAUGCUAGAGACUCGGACCCCAGGUCCCGGGUCCCAGCUUCCCAAGGAAGCUAUUUCCUGCGUUUUCCCCAGGGUAAAGGCCCCUGCCGCCAGCUCCCUCUCCCCAGGGGCAUCCUCGCACUGCCUGGCUGAUGCCCGAGAACCCCGGCGCUUGCCAAGCACCCCGGGCCGCGCGCUCACCUCUCUCCAGGGCCAGAUCCCCUACCUGGGGGCAGGAGCGCCCGGCACCAUCGGCGGCGCCGCGGGGCAAAGCGAGGCGUCUGGGGCCCGGCCUCAAGCCCAGAAGACUUCCCCGGGGAAGAGGAGGUUGUGCUGCCGCGGCAGCCACCGCGUCUCUCCGGAUCUCGCCGGGGCUGCGGGAAGGAGGAAGUGCUGUGAAAUUCCCGUUAGACAGAAUUUUCAUCAUGUAAGGAGGCGAAUUCCCCAAGAGGAUCUUGAAGUGCAAUCUAGGGUGGAUAGACUCAAAUGUCUGCUCCCGCCGCCCACAGUACAUUCGCC
rnacentral:lncRNA from 1 species